CUCCACCUCCUGUUGUCGUGGCGCGGCACAGUUCUCCAUGAACAUAGGUGGAAGAUCAAAGCCCAGGUACUUAAUGAUGAUCCGCUGCUUCUGUUGUAGGUCUCACAUUCUGUCACGUCUCAAAGAUGUGUGCGGAAGCAAUCUCAGAUUUUCAACGUUUUAUUAUAUAAACCAACCAAAACACAAAGGAUAUUUAGACUGAUGCAAAACACUGUGGUACAGACUACACAAUAAACUACAAGACCAAAACACGGUAACAUGGAACACGGUAGUCUAAGACAAUUAUGUGAGAAAAAGAAUCAGUGCAAACAGUGGCACUAUAUAUACACGAGUGCUCAUUAAACAAAAACGUGAUGCAGGUUACAUGUUUGGUUUCAUGUUUCGCGCCUCAGGUCUAGUUACUGUGUUGGGUUGAUGGCGUCGGGCGCAUGGUGGCUUAGUGGUUAGCAUGUGUGCCUCGCACCUCCAGGGUCUGGGGUUUGAUUCCCGCCGGGGCAGUGUUAGAAAUGGGUUAGAUGGGUAAUGGUGUCAUGCGGUGUGUUUUCCAUGCACAGCCCUUGUUGUGCAUGGAAAACACACCGCAUGACACCAUUACCCAUCUUACCCAUUUCUAACCCUGCCCCGGUGCUACGCAGUAUUGUUUCAAAGUCAAGUUCUAGUUUCUUGUUUCAUGCCUCAAUUCUAGUUUAUGUUUUGACCUCAUUUCCUGUAUCGUGUAUAUUGACUUUAGUGGAUAAUGAAGACUUUGAUCCUGCACUUACUUCCUGUCCCAGUCUCGUUGGGUAACAAUGGCAGUAAAUUAAGAACCUUGUGUUUGUCUAAAGCAGUUUCACUUUGUGGAAAUAAAAAAGCAAUUAAACACAUUCCAGAACUGGGUUUCCAAACAAAGCCCCCUAAGCUUGCAAAUCAGUGUCAAAAGAAGCAGCAUUUGACUAACUCUAGAAGUGAUUGUGAAACUACAGUAGUAAUCUGGCUCAGGGAAUGGUGAUUAAGCCUAUCUACUUUAUCCACCAGAUGUUUUUUUUAUUUAUUUAUUUGUUGGUUUAUUUGUUUUUGCCCAUGCAGUAUAAAAGAGCAAAGUGGCAUAUGGUUCUAAAAAAAAAAAAAAGAAAGAAAGAAAGAAAAAAUCAAUUACCAUUUAAUAAUAACAACAAAAAAUCAAAUGGAACAGAUGUACAUUGUAAAGUUUUCAGCUCUACUUUGUGAAAAAGUAGGGGCAUAACAGGUUUUAAUACAGUUUAUAGCCCAUAUCUAUCUCUAAUCAAAGCCUACAUCUAACCAAACAUUCAAAAUAGUAACUUCUUAAGUCUUCAGAAUGUUUAUCAUGUCAGUGAAAAAUAAAGCAUUUCAUUAGGACAUCACCAGGUUAAAAAACAGCACAUACAACACUUAAUCCUAGCCAGAAAACUGCCAUUGGAUUUCUGUUUCUAACUGCUACGAAUCAUUUACAUAGGCCCAGCAGAUUCUAAUAGAAGCAAAAUGACAUCACAAGAACUGUGCAACAACCUAUCACCCAGUUUGUCCAUUAACUCAUACAGCUCUAGACGCGCAUGAGCGGUUGUAAACGCACCAAGAAGGAGGUUAAUGUCAAGUCUGACCCCCUUUCCCAAUAACACCACUAAAUUAGUGCUACGCAGUCUGACAUGAAUGAAAAGUGUUUAACGUCAUAACCAUAUGUUGUGUAAACUGUUCUGGGCCGGAAAUUAGUUCUGUACACGGCAAGUUUUCACGCAUCAAGAAACGACCCAGAAAUGAGUUCAGCAGAAGUUUGUUAAUAGAACGCCGUGCUGGGUUAUGACUUAACUUAUCAACAUGCAUCUUAAUCCCCUCUUUCUCAAAGUAAUCAGAGACGUAGGAUUCCUUGUCAGCAUCUGUCACAACAUGAGCGGGGAACCCACUGGCCUCUUGUUUGUAUUGUAAAAAUGUUUUAACAUAGUCACAAAACAAAGUUUCUGACCGUUGUGGAAAAGGUAACUUUCAUUACAAAGUAACCCUUUUCCACACCUUUCAAUAGUUCGAUGCUGACCCAACAGCCUGAUAUUGCUUUCCUCAUCAGUGUGUCCACACAGGUCUGUCUGAUUCUGCUUUUCUGUGCAUGUACGACAGAGUGGAAACAUAAGCUUACCACCAGUCCUAUAGGGAAGGAUGGGGUGAAGCAGUUUUUGUGGUAGCAGCACUGUAGCUUUGACAAAUCCAUAAUAAUUUUCAAGAGGUUCAAAAUCCUUGAAAAUUAUUUGGGGAAGUCCUAUGGGGUAACAUUUUUUGGCCUGGCAAAAGGGAUACAAGCUUGUAAAGUCAACAUAUCAUAUUUUUUCACUAAUGUCGGCUUUGUGAUACAAUUUCUAUUAGUUAGUAUGACCACAAAAUAGAGCGUUGCACAGUUUCAGUCUUUCAGGAUGUGUGUAAGUGGUCAUAAAGGCCAUUACAUCGACAUCGGUCUGUUUAGCGUUAUACCAAUCACACUCCCACAUUGCCUCAACAUCCAGACCAUACGCUUUUUAUAAUAUUUCGACUUUGUCAUCAAAUUGUCUUCCGAGCAAGCCGUAGGGCACUUUUGAUAACGGAUGUAAAUGGUUGGGAUUACAUGCCUGCCAAUCAUGCCCGUGAAACAUACAACCAUUGAAUUCGUAUCGUUGGGGAUGAAGCGAGUUCUCUAUCUCACCAGGAGGAAAUGAACGAGGAUGCAGAUGAAGAUAAGGCAUAAUCAGCUGAUACAUCUGGUACUCAAGAGGAAAGCUUUUCAGCCACAGCACCAGAUGUCGACCCACCCAGGACACAAGGUGACAUGUUUUUGAUGUAAAUGCUAUUUCCAUUAAAUAGGCACUAUGUAUGUAUGUAUGUAUGUAUGUAUACGUAUAUGUAUAAGACAAUUCUUUGUAGGUAUGUAUUGGUUUGACUCAUCAGGUUCAGUAGUUGUUACAUAGGCUAGCUACUGUAUGCUGCACAUAUUUGUCCCAACAUUUAAAAUAUGAUUAAUGUAGAACAUGGAGACACUUAAAAAUAUCAUUUUUUUCAUUUUCUAAGACUUCUAGCAAUUUUAUUGCUAUCAAAGCCUGUCACUUCAACUGACAUUUCUAUUUUUUUUUUAAUGGUAACAUAUAUAACAUAGGUUACUCUCGAAGAAAGAAAUCUGCGAGAUGCACUGUGAUCUCUCAGCAUCAGCAGUUCAUGAUACAGAUGAUGAGGCAAUAAAAUUAAUGGGUUCAAGACCAAAUCCAGCAAUCCGAGCAAAGGGAGGAGAGACUCCUUAGUGCUUUAAUUGAGAGCAAUGUCCGUUCCACCGAGCACAUUAUAUCAAUACUUGUUGAGGGAUUCCAAAGCACCCACAUCCAAUGUUUGCACCUCCUUCACUGCACCCCCCCACACUUUCAAGGGUAUCACACACAGCCAUCUAACUAUACCCUGCAUGGUUCUACUGUGUCAAACACAUCCACUGCUGAACAUGGGUCAGAAGAAGCAAAUGAAUAUGCUCGAUCAUAUACUCACCUGUGAGCAGCCUGCCAUUAGGUAGCAGAAAACCUGCUUAUGUAAAAUACUUUGUGAAUGCCUGUAUUGACUUGAGUUUAGAUGUGUUUGCCUACCUCAUAUUUGCCUGUGUUACAGGAAAGAAUGUGCCUUGUCUUUUGUUAUAUAAAUUUGUUAGUAAGUGAAACCUUUCAUUUUUUGAAAAAAAAUAACUAAAUAAAAAAAUUUAAAAAAUUCAUCCAUCCAGUUUCUGUCCAUCCUACAGGGUCAUGAGAUACCUGGAGCCAACCUAAGGGAGCAUGGGGCACAAGGCAGGGUACACCCUGGAUGGGGUUGAAAUGUUUUUUUUUAAUUAAACCUCUAUUUUUUGUAAAGUAAUAUUUACCAUAAGUGAGCAGAACUUGAAGAGGUCCCUUUCUUAUUAUCCUUUUUGUUGUGUCCUUUUUUGCACUUCAAACCUGUGUGCAGUGUUCCUGGAAUUAAGGCAUACAAAACCCAACAGAAACUUAAAGAAAUUGCCUAGUUCACAUUAAAAUAAAAAGUGCAGCACUUCUUCAUAAAAUAACUUCUUGAAUGCAGUUAACAUCACAGACUGGAGAUAAUAACGUUGAACAAAUACUAAGAAGUGUGACUUUCCAAGCUCCUCAAAGCAAGCAAAUAUGCUGAAUGUUAACCACUUGUGCCUAAUGUAUACUCCUCCAAAGGGGAAAUGUUGCUGCCAUGUAUGGUGAUAAUGCAUCUCUCAUGACAUAAGCAUCUGUGCUGGUUCUGUGGUGCACUGUGGGGCUGGGGUAAGGCUCUCUCCAUAACUGUUGCCUCCUCCAUCCAGCAUUGGGGGACCUUCUCCUUUUCUCGUUCACAAAAAUUGUGCAGUGCACAACAUGUAAUCAUGCAAGGUGAGAAAGUGAAGUGAAAAUAUCACUGCAUUUCAGGAGCACCCUCCACCUAGACUUCAGUCUCUCAAAAGCAAUCUCCACUGUUGUUCUUGUUGAGCUGAGGUGAACAUUGAACGACUCUUGUUCAGGUGUUAGGCCUAGAGACUGUGGGUAACACUUCAUCAGUCAGUCCAUGAGUGGAUAAGCUGGAUCUCCGAGGAGAAAGAAAUGCACAGGUUUCCCCUGAAUCACCCUCACUCCCUAAAGGUCAUACAACAACAUAAAGUUAUUGAUGUCUCUGUGAUCAUUUAAUGUUACCAGCCAAGACCAUGGCAAAAUAUUUUUACCCUGGGGAGUAGAUGGGCCUUUUGCAUAGCUGUGAUUGCCACAGUACAUUGACAUCAUGUGCACUCCCAGGAACUUGGCAAUUGACACUCCAAAAGCUAGAUAAAAAAGAAAAAAUGAAUCAGCAUUACAGAAGUAUAGCUGAGUUUAUUGGUCAUAUUAGCAGAUAAACAAUGUACACUCCAACUUAGGCUCUAGUGUUUUAUAUACGAUACAUAGUAUUCUAAAAGUAACUCAUGUAAACACCUUAAUCACAGAGUACUCAGAGUAAGGUCAAUAAUUAGAUUACUGCUGUCCAUGUAAACGUAGUCAUUGUCUCAUAGCCAGGUAUGGUCCUAUGUAGUCUUCAUUUUCUAUUCUACUGAAUAGGUAUGGAAAAUGACCUCUCAGAACAGGUUAGAUUUAACGCAGUGGACGUCACAGCCAGACGCAUAGGGAUGAAUGAGUAGUUAUCAAUGAAACGGUGCUUGAAUGUCUUGUCCGGGAAAGCAUUAAGCAUUAAAAUGAUCGGACAGCCUUGCAUAAUAAUUUGAAGUGUUAGCCCUGCUUUUGUGAAAUAUUCCAAAAAUAUAAAGUUGUAAAACCCUGAAGCAAUGUGUGCAACACAUGUGAAAUUCUGAUAAUGAGGCUGUCUAAACUUUGAUCUAAACUUUGUCUAAAAGUUGAUCUAUAUAGUCUGUACCAGCAGCUGUGAACUCUUCCCCUUUAAACGUAAUCACGUAUAUGAAGUUUGCAACGUGUUUACCAUCUACGUGUCGUGUCUCAAAAUUAUAGUAUAUGUAUUUGUCGCUAGGUGGCUCGAGUUUUAUUGGCUGUAUAAAACACUGGUGUACACAGUCAUUAACCGAUUCCAUGCCACAAUGGAUACAAAGUUCUGCUGCACACACGUGUUGUUUUGGGGUGGCUCCAUUGACAUGAUAUCGCCUAUUACAUUUCUGACAGUGACAGUUUUGUGACAUCACAGCAGAUCUGCAGUAUCGCAAACAAUCGUGACAUUGCCUCGUUUUGACAGCGUAUUUAUGAUAAUCAGGUGCAUUACAAACAUUGCAAAUGUAUUUACACCUAUGGUCUCUACGGCUAGUAAAUCCAUGGUGGCAGUAGUCACACACGUAUGGAGUACCUAUGAACGCUUUUAGGUUCUUAAUCAUGAAAUAAUGUUCGUUGUGCAGAUACAAGAACAUGGUCUUGUUAUGGGGCACGUCACUGGACGUAUACCGUUCCAACAUACCAGUACAUGUUCUAUGUAACACCACUAUUUUAAUGUGUAACAACUGUUCAAACUCUGUAAUGUCAUUAAACCCUAUCUUUUGCUGUACUGAAUACCCCGCAGUGUCCUGCAGAGACUCGGCUAUCAGUUCUAGAUCAGUACACGACAUUUGUGAUGUAGAAAAUGGGCCAGACAGAUUGCAAAACACAGAUUGUUAGAUAUAUUGCUGGGACAAAACAGAUUCAUUCUGUUUAUGGCAACCACUUCGUUAUGGGCUAGAUCACGUAUCUUUCGAUAAGCACCACCGUGUUUACCAUGAGCUAUAGACACAUUUAGAUCCAAACUGUCAUCAGCUCGCACAUUAGAAUUGCUUUGCAUAAUGUUCUCAAUCUGGUUUGUGAACACGCACACAAGACAGCGUUAACAUCAGAGGGUAGACUAGGGCCUCUCAAUGUUAUGUUGAUUAAACCCCCAUCACUGGCCAGCAGUCUGGAAAAUGACAGUAUUUCAUCCAUGACACCAUGCAGAAAUAUUGUGUACGCAGCCAGGUCUGGGGCGUUUAUCACACACAUUUAUAUGACGCCGUAUCUCCAAACUAUUAAAUCUGAGUCUCGCUACCACUGUACAACCACCAAUAUCGCCACCCUCUCUUACAAUAGAAUCAAUAGCGGAUGCGGAUAACCCAAAAUUUGGCUCCAAAGGAUUAAACGUAUGAUACGAUUCGCUGUCUGAACCCCUCCCCACCUGUUGUGAAUUUGAAGCAUGUUCUAAUGAUGAAGUUGAUGAAGAGGAAUUGAUUCUGCUUGAUCGUCUGCCACUGAUCUCGCAAUGUUUAAUAAUUCCAACAACGUAUCAGUGGUAGACUCAGAUCUAUUCAGAUCCUCCAUUGUCUGAAUUAAAUACUGUAAUGUUUCCAUGUUACCACACUGUUCAAAGGAACACAAACCGUCGUCAUCGCAUUUUCUAGAUUUAAUUACUGUUCUUUGAUUACAAACUGUUUCCCCACAGUUUGUUUUUAUCUCAUAAGGGUUAUGUUUUUGGAAAACAUGUAUUACGGAUUCUUUUAAACAGCUCUUUUACUCAUUUUUACUUCCUAAAGGUUUAUGUUUGGAAGACAUGUAAUACGUAUGAUUCUUUUAAACAGAUUCUUUUAAAAAAAAAAAAUGUUUUACCUCCUAAAUUUUUAUUCCAAGUCAAACCAGUCUCCCAAAAAACGUAAUCAACAUUUGUUUUCAUUUGUUUCACAAACAAAUAUUCUGCUCAUAUAUGUACACAUUCAAACAUCAUGCUUUUUCUAACAAUGUGGUUACAUAAACGAAAUCCCCCACACAAACGUAUACCCAAUAUUAACCAUUUGAUACACUUUUUCAGACGUAUUUCACCCAAACAUCCUUAAGCUACAAAUAAAACAAUACCACAAAAAGUAAUUUCAGAAACAAACAUUCUCUUAUACCACGAAAAAUACAUUGUGGUAUACAUUGUGUGUGAUUACUACUGGGAGAAACAGGUUUCACAACAUUAACAAACACAUUUGUUGGGGACUACUCCCCCACACCCCACAGAUCCCGACACACAGGUGCCAGAAUGACCCACUGAUACAGUCGAUAGGGCUACCCCCACCCUGGUCAUAAAUUAGGUUACCUACAGAAAUGUCAGCCAGAGAAGCACAAAGGGUCAUAAAUGAGCACACACUAUCUUUGAUUGACAGUUUGACUGAAAGUGUAUUAUAUAACUACUUCUAUUAUUUAAACCAAUAAUCCUAAGAAAUAUAUCCAACAAAAUAUAGCUCCUUGUGCUUAGCUUCAAAUGUUAAUUGUUUCCACUCUACCUAAAGGAACAGAAAUAAUACAGAAAUUCUAAAAAUGUAAUGUUACAUUGUAUAUUCUUCAGUUGUAUGUGCUAUGAGUAUGUCAAUCUUUUCAAUGUUUUUGUGACCAGUUUAGAAUUUUGUUUACUUGCAUUCUUUAUUGUAUCCUCUGUAUUAAUGGGCUCAACUGUGUCAAUAUUCAUCAUUAUUCUCUAGUGAUUGAAGAUGAAAGUAAAUGCUUUAACUAAGAAUAGUAAAAUCUCAUAAGCUU
ensembl:lncRNA